AUGGGAUAUCUGUCUUCACUGCUGUGUAAGAGUCCAGUGAUGGGACACCUGUCUUCACUGCUGCGUAAGAGUCCAGUGAUGGGACACCUGUCUUCACUGCUGCGUAAGAGUCCAGUGAUGGGACACCUGUCUUCACUGCUGCGUAAGAGUCCAGUGAUGGGACACCUGUCUUCACUGCUGCGUAAGAGUCCAGUGAUGGGACACCUGUCUUCACUGCUGCGUAAGAGUCCAGUGAUGGAAUAGCUUGCAAUUCACCUGUCUUCACUGCUGCGUAAGAGUCCAGUGAUGGGACACCUGUCUUCACUGCUGCGUAAGAGUCCAGUGAUGGGACACCUGUCUUCGCUGCUGCGUAAGAGUCCAGUGAUGGGACACUUGUCUUCGCUGCUGCGUAAGAGUCCAGUGAUGGGAUACCUGUCUUCACUGCUGCAUAAGAGUCCAGUGACGGAAUAGACUGCAAUACAUUUUCCCAUGAAUCUGUUAAUGGGCUCCUGGGCUGUUUCUGGUUUGGGGGUGUCUGGAAUGAGGCUGGCAUGAGCACGAGUUCUAGCUGAGUGGUAUUUUCAGCAGCUUGGCCAAAAGGUGUGACUUUUCAGGACCUGGCUGAAGGAGGGACUCUAGGGAAAAGGGCUGAUGGGCAGGAAAGCGGUGGCAGAGGGGAUGGCGAAGCCAUAGCUUGCAGGCUGUUGUUCCUAGUGCCCCAAUCAAUAUACCUCAGUUCCCAACUGGGGCCACCUGGAAAGACAGGAAAGGAUGACUCCAUGAGCUCUCAUGGCAUGGAAGACCCAGUUGUGCCCAGUGGAUGCAACCUCCCUCCAUUUCUGGCCAUCCCCUGCUGCUUCCCUCGCACCCCCACCUCCAGCCCCACCCCGCCUUCUCCACCAGGUGCCCUCCGGUGACUUCAGCUCCAUGGACAGCUCCCAGACUGCUGUCCUCCCUGUGGUGCUGAAAUCACCCCAACAGGGAAGCCAAGGCACAGAGAAGCUAAAGAAGAAAAUGGAAUGAAAUGGCACG
rnacentral:lncRNA from 1 species